rnacentral:rRNA from 1 species
UACAGAGGGUGCAAGCGUUGUUCGGAAUUAUUGGGCGUAAAGGGCGCGUAGGCGGUGCGGUAAGUCUGUAGUGAAAUCUCUGGGCUCAACUCAGAGUCUGCUGCAGAAACUGCCGUGCUUGAGUGUGGGAGAGGUGAGUGGAAUUCCCGGUGUAGCGGUGAAAUGCGUAGAUAUCGAGAGGGACACCUGUGGCGAAAGCGGCUCACUGGACCACAACUGACGCUGAGGCGCGAAAGCUAGGGGAGCAAACAGG